AUUAUACUCCCUCCGUCCGAAAAUACUUGUCGGAGAAAUGGAUGUAUUUUUUUCCGACAAGUAUUUCUGGACGGAGGGAGUAUAUG
rnacentral:pre_miRNA from 1 species